GCCUGUCGUCGUUUACACUGUACUAUAAAUUCAAACUUUGGGUAUAGAGACUCGUCUAAAGAACUCUAAUUCGAUGGAUAAUAGAUAAUUCUUAAAAAAUCCGCUAGAGAAAUGAAGUUUACUAAAGUAUGUGCAACGAAUAAAAUGAAUAAUAUGAAUAUCAGAAAAGAUUAAGAUCAAAUAUCCGGACAAUCAAUAAAGGAAAGUGAAGACGUUUUAACCUCAUUCACAGUCGACAUAACCUCUAAUUUUAACUUCACUAACUAUUAUAAUACUGAUUGAAAUUGUGGAGCAUCUGUAAUGCUGAGUGAUGUGCUAGUAUUUUCAUCUAGCUUAUAUAAAUGUUACUUUGCUUUUUAAAUUGUUCUAACAGAGAACAAUUUUGCUGUUGAAUGUUAAUAGCGUGUUAGUACAAUUCUUGCUAACUUGUGGCACAAUAUCUUCUUCCUUUUCUAUCUACAAUUUUGUGACAUACCGAUGUAUAGGUUCACUUUGUCGCAGUUUCUUAGCGCAGUCUCCGUACUUGAUAAUAAGAUCUGUACAUCAAUUGUCAUGUAACAUUUAAUGUUGUAUGGUAGAUUUGAUAGACAUAUCUAUAUUUCAUGCAAUUUUUCUAGACUACAUAGUCCAGAAAAUGUGUUACUUUACGCAAUAUUGUAGUUUCUCUUAUCACAGGUCUUGAGUCUACUUUCGUAUUGCAAUUUGUGCUGUUCCAAGUCUGAUACCUGGUAUUAAAGUUAAAUGAUGUUAAGUUAGUUAAACUUAUAUUAAUUUGACUUCCAGGGAGAGAGAAAAUAAUGUUCUAAUUAGUUCUGAGUUUGUUUUUUAAUAUGUAUGAGAAUUUGUGGUUUUUGAGAUCAGGAAUUAUGUUUAAGCAGGAUUGAUUCAUGAACGGCUAUUCUACCCGCAUGUACAUCUUGUCAUUUGUCAAUUUUGAUCAUGUAAUUUCUAAUCUUUGUGAUAUCUGUGGAGUUAAGAGAUCAGGCUGUGUUAGUAAUAGCGUGCUCUAUACAGGGCACCGAGCGAGUAGCGGCAACGCACCAAUCAGGGAGUGGGAAUUCCAACUCGCAACCUGAUUGGUGGAGCGCGCGCCAUAUCCGAUGUGUAUAAAAGCGAUGCACCGGCUGACCAAAGCAUCAUUUCUCGCCUAGAGUAGGUAGAGAGUUCAUCGCAGUUUCGUUUUAUACAAACUAAGCAAAGAUGUCUGGCCGUGGAAAGGGAGGAAAAAUAAAGGGGAAGGCAAAGUCCCGCUCAAACCGAGCAGGCUUACAAUUCCCCGUUGGUCGUAUUCAUAGACUGCUCCGCAAAGGUAACUACGCAGAACGAGUUGGUGCUGGAGCACCCGUUUAUUUAGCGGCAGUUAUGGAAUAUUUGGCUGCUGAAGUAUUGGAGUUGGCUGGUAAUGCAGCUCGGGAUAAUAAGAAGACCAGAAUCAUUCCACGACAUUUGCAACUUGCAAUCAGGAAUGACGAAGAGCUGAAUAAGCUUUUGUCCGGAGUUACCAUCGCUCAAGGCGGUGUUCUGCCAAAUAUUCAAGCAGUUCUGCUGCCUAAGAAGACCGACAAGAAGGCAUAAUUCAUUCGAUGCAUUCGUUACUCAACGGCCCUUUUUAGGGCCACCAAACUUUUUAAACGAAGCAUAGUCUCGAACAACAAAAUUUAACAUCUCAUCGAAUUUUUGCUAAAUAUUUUUCAAAUUAAUUUCGAUCAUAGGAUGUUUUAGUUUUUUGUCCUCCACUUUUUUUUAUUUUCUGUACUUCAGUUUAUUUAUAAAUCAGAAUUACAUAACUUUGUACAGCAAAUGUGUUCAUAAAAUGUCCUGCACGUAUAGUUACAGAGCACGUAAGAUUCACUUUAAAUAAUUUUUUUCAUUGGUUAUUUUUUUCUAUCAAUAUCAUACUAAUUGUCUUGUUGUUCGAAUCGGAGGCGAACAACUGUUGCCACGAAGGCAGGUUCUUAAACAGACUUACAACGUAAGUAACUUAAACAGUAUUGUUCAUUGUAAACAAUGAAUGCAUCCAUCUUGUGCAGUAUAGCAGCAUAUGAUAAGGUAUCUAUUGACCAUAUGCCGAUACAAAAGAGUUAGCUCAAACGGUAAACUCUGCAGCGGAACAAAAUUUCAUUCUUCAGCAAUGGCGCUGGCGGAACGAGUACUAAAAAUUAUCGUAGUUCAGAGACUGCUUUGUUUAAGAGCACUGAACUCCUUUUGUUAGAAGACUGAAGAGUACGCGAAAUCUACGAAGCCAGAAAGGACGAGGUCAAAUCUGGAACUCGUCAAUGACACCGAUGACCACGCAUAAACGAACCAGGUGUGGAUGGUCGGACGUCGAUGUGCUGGGGGACCGUGAGCAUCCGCUGUCGGCGAAGCGUUACCAGGUGACUCAACCGUUGUAACUCGGUUUCAUAGCGCCGAAAGAAAGGGAAAGUACCCGGGACAUCGAAGCAUGGAGCCCGCCAUGCUCUCAGUCCGCAGAAAGCGAUUGAACGCACGCGAGAAGAAGCGAUCCUCGGCGCCUAUCUGUCUCGCAGUCGCGAAAAUCGCGCUCGAAAUUCGUCGCAUUUCGAGCGACCAGGCUAGCCAAUAUCACAGCCGGUAAAUCUUUGUGUGCCAAAGGGAGAUCGGAGUGUGACUUGGAAAUUGCCUUUGUCCGGAGACGUCUUUCCCCAACGGGCCGUAUCGAUUAAAGGAUAACUCGCUUAAUCUUUGAUGGAUCAUGAUCUCGAACACGGAUCAUCUUCGUAAGAUCGAGCUGUUUCAACGAGUCACGAGUUCAUCGAGGUUCCUGCAUGCCUGAUUUCUUCGGCCAGCGGAAUUCGCGAUGUUGGAUCCAAUCGCGGGAAUAUCGUCGGUAUGGUGGUUGGUGAUGUACGCCAAUAUUUUGCUGCUGCUGUCUCCUCUGGUGCUGCUUUUCAUCGUGUUUCUACCGAAUUUCCCGAUACUGCUGCUCAGAAGGAUGUGUUACAUUCCCAUCGAGUCCAUAUGACGAUCUCUAGCAUCGAUAUUCUGUUAACGAUUAGGACAGUUUUUCGUAGAAAUUAUUGUAAAGAGAAUUAUCGAAGUUUUUCGGUCUAAGGAUAAUAUUGUUAUUCGAAUAAUAGCGAUGGGAGAAAGGAUCUUGAAAGCCUUCGAUAAUUCUAUAACGGUACGGCGACAAUAUUUUACUUCUAUGUAAAUUGCUUGGGUAAUGGAAAUUUUCAUGCUAUAUUGUGCGAUUCUAAGCCGCUGUACCGUUACGGACGAUUAUAAAGGCUUUUAACGUUCGUGCAGAAAGGGUAACUGGACAAUGGCAGCGAUUUGAAUGGUCAGACACAGUAAAUUGUCCGAAUAUACCUGGCGUUUAUGCCGCGUGCGAGUUCAAGGUGUAAUCAAAAUCGUAUUAAAUCAAUUUCGAUGUAGAAUAAUCUUACCGAACAUACGAUCCAUUUGAACUAACUGUAUAGUUACCAUGACACAUUUAGUCAUAUAAGUUUUAAAAGAUAUACGUAGUCUGUUUUCUUUUCCUUCUAUCAUUUAGAUUUAUUUCAUAGAGUCUUGAAUAAAAACGCUCGCUGUCAGACAUCUACGCCAACGUCAAGUAUUUAAUUUGGCAGAACAGAUUUUAUCGAAGCCAAACGUAGCUUGCGUAAAUUUCAAAUUUCUAUUCGCACGUAACCUACCUGUACAAAUUGCACGAGCAUGUAAACUAGAGAACGGUGUUUCGCAAAACGCGAGUUACACUCGUUUACCGUACGGACAGCUCGAAAAUUUUGUGACAGAUCUGCGAAUUUUCGAGGUUCCUAUUGCGUCAGAUUUAUAUAUUCUUCAUGAUCGUUCGGGUCGUGUGCACAGCGAGUUAGAAUAUAUUCUUUAUCAAGUGCGAAGAGACAUAUUUAAAUUUUAAAGUUUGGAGACAUCAAAUAAUUUCACGUUUGAAAUAUAGGUACUUAGAAAAAAAAGAAUUUGGAAAUUCUACGCACAACAAAAUUUACGUGUGAGCUACUCCAGAUUUUAAUAGCUUCGAAAGAGACGGCCGUCAUUCACCGCCCAUUUUUUAUCUUGGACACUUAUUAUGUAAACGAGUGUAC
rnacentral:misc_RNA from 1 species